GUUCCCGCCCGGCAGGGCAGCGCCCUCCGCCCCUGAGGGACAGCGCGGCCGCCGAAGGGGCGAUCUGGCGCCGGGAGUCAAGUUGGGCGGUCCCCGCAGCGCUGGGGAGCAGUAGAGACUUUGGGUUUAUCUUCUCCUUUUUGAGCCCUGAGGAAACACUUGAAGAGGGGCAGAAAGGGCCGUGAGGAGAGCUCCGGGCCGAGGCAGGGCUUGCUGAGCACGCGGAGUGCGGUAGAGAUAGCAAAUCUGAGUUUGGAGUCACCUUCACUUCAAUAUUCUAGAGCUACAGAAUGAAUGGUAAAUCCUCCUGCAGAGUAAACAGCCUGAAAAGGGAACAGCUGCAGAUGCCUUUUUGACAAGCACCUCGCCUGAUGCUGGCCAUGUGAAAUAUUUGUACCCGUCAGAUAUAUUACGCUGUCCUCAUCUUCAGUUCUCUGUGUUGUUUACAGCCUGGUUCCCUGGAAGUCAGUAGAGCUUUUCAUAGCUAGUCCUUCAAUUCUUGAAAAUACACAAGUCAAGUAUUUUUAACUGUUUC
ensembl:lncRNA